rnacentral:rRNA from 1 species
UACGUAGGGUGCAAGCGUUGUCCGGAAUUAUUGGGCGUAAAGAGCUCGUAGGCGGUCUGUCGCGUCGGCUGUGAAAACCCGGAGCUCAACUCCGGGCCUGCAGUCGAUACGGGCAAACUGGAGUGUUGCAGGGGAGACUGGAAUUCCUGGUGUAGCGGUGAAAUGCGCAGAUAUCAGGAGGAACACCGGUGGCGAAGGCGGGUCUCUGGGCCGAAAUUGACGCUGAGGAGCGAAAGCGUGGGGGAGCAAACAGG